CAAAAAGCCUGAGCUCAUUGAUUACACAUCACUGUUAAUAAAGAGCAUUUGUAAUGCAGCAGUGGUGAUACAAUCUCCACGCGCCAGUUCAUGAUGGCCCUUCAGUCUCUACAAUUAAGUCGUCCAGCAGGCAUGCCCCCUGUUGCAGCUGCUCUGUCAAUCUCAUUUUGUAGUACAAAUGAUCUUAGACCCAGUGUUUGACAUGGGGUUUUAACACCAAAGAAGGCAAUUCUGCAACUUCAAAUGAGCCUAAUUGGUUGUGCGCUCAGGCGUUCACUCAAGCUGCUUCAGUCCAUCAGUGAGAGAUUUCCAACUAAUUGAACAGCUCAGAAGAAAAAGAACCACGAAAAUCACAGUGCACUGGGCCGAUUGAGAGGGUUUUUUUCUUGAUAAAAACCUUCAAAAUAAGAUUAUUUUAUUUUAUUUUAUUUUUUGAGAAGUCAGCCACCUGUCAAUCUAGAAAGUGGUUUCAUCGGUACAGAAGUUUCUAAUGAGCAAUGUUUACUCAAUCAGACCAUAAAAUAGUGGUAUUUCCCAAUAAAAUAAGCUUCAAGUGGCUGCAAGGAAUGCAGAACUCCAUGAAGCCUGAGAGCAUCCUUUGGUCCUUGACCAGGGGACCUCCCAGGAUCAGAAUGCCAGCAUGUCUGAGGCAGAGAAGCCACCCUUUGACACUGGAAACUCAGUGGUCCUAACCCUAAAGCUCUGUAAGAAAUUGAGUUGGAUCCUCAGGAGCAGAUGGGCUUAACAGAUCCAUGUUGUCAACUUCCUUAGCCAACUGCAUAUGCCAAAAAUCUCAUGUUUAAUUUGCACACACGCAGCAUAUUACCAAACAGCAACAACAAAAUAAUAAUAAUAAAAAGAACUGAAAAUCUUAUGAAGAAAAACA
rnacentral:lncRNA from 1 species